rnacentral:rRNA from 1 species
GUGACCUCAAAUCAGGUAGGACUACCCGCUGAACUUAAGCAUAUCAAUAAGCGGAGGAAAAAGAAACUAACAAGGAUUCCCCUAGUAACUGCGAGAGAAGCGGGAAAAG